rnacentral:misc_RNA from 1 species
CACUAGAGGAUAAAACACAACACACACACACACACCAGGGAAGUGCGUGUGUUGGUGGUGGCAGGAGAGGAAGCUGCCUGUAACAGUGUUGGAAUUCUCACACACACCUGCACUGUGGCCACACCUUCCCCACACCUGCCGCGACUACUCAGAAGCUGUGUCAAUGCUGCAACAGGCGUCCCCCGUGCUGUUGUGGCGGAAGGAGGUGGUGCUGUGGGGGACCGGGGUGAACAGCGUGUGGUGCCUAGUGGUGGUGCUGCUGUGUCUCCUGGUGGCGCUGUGGCUGCUGCGACCCAACAGGCACCUCCCGCCAGGCCCGUGGGAGCUGCCACUGAUCAGAUUCAUUCUUCGGCUGAGCCACGCCCCGCAGACCACGCUGACGGGGCUGGCGGGGGUGUGGCGAGGUGGAAAGAGGAAGAGGAAGAGGAGGAGGACCCUGAACUGCUUGCUGGUGACGUAGGAUUGAAGGAUGUGUAGGAUAAGAAGGACCUCACUGAGAGACUAACGGUAUCCUAGAAUUGGCGGUAACACGUGGACAGCCAUCGGUGGGAGGCGCCGUGUGGGAGGCAGUGACCCCGCCUUACUGGGACCGUGUUGGUGUGGGGACGGCCUUGACUGGUGUGACGUCUCCUAGGGUCCCCUCUCUC